GUUGGUGAUUUAACGCUGUGGCCACACCUCUUUCCAUUCCGAACAGAGAAGUUAAGCGCAGUAGUGGCGAUGGUACCACCCUCGUGGUGGAAGAGUAGCUAGUCGCCAGCA
rnacentral:rRNA from 1 species